rnacentral:rRNA from 1 species
AUACGUAGGGGGCGAGCGUUGUCCGGAAUUACUGGGCGUAAAGGGCGCGUAGGCGGCCUGUUAAGUCAGGCGUGAAAACCCCGGGCUUAACCUGGGGACUGCGUUUGAAACUGGCGGGCUUGAGGGCAGGAGAGGAAAGUGGAAUUCCCGGUGUAGCGGUGAUAUGCGUAGAUACCGGGAGGAACACCAGUGGCGAAGGCGGCUUUCUGGACUGCACCUGACGCUGAGGCGCGAAAGCCAGGGGAGCGAACGGGAUUAGAUACCCCGGUAGUCCUGGCCGUAAACGAUGGGUACUAGGUGUGGGAGGUAUCGACUCCUUCCGUGCCGGAGUUAACACAAUAAGUACCCCGCCUGGGGAGUACGUUCGCAAGAAUGAA